AUACAGAGGUCCCGAGCGUUGUUCGGAUUCACUGGGCGUAAAGGGUGCGUAGGUGGUGAGGUAAGUCGGAUGUGAAAGCUCGGAGCUCAACUCCGAAAUGGCAUUGGAAACUACCUUGCUUGAGGAUUGGAAGGGGGACUGGAAUGCUUGGUGUAGCAGUGAAAUGCGUAGAUAUCAAGCGGAACACCAGUGGCGAAGGCGAGUCCCUGGACAACACCUGACACUGAGGCACGAAAGCUAGGGGAGC
rnacentral:rRNA from 1 species